rnacentral:rRNA from 1 species
CAGUCGCCGCGGUAAUACGGAGGGAGCUAGCGUUGUUCGGAAUUACUGGGCGUAAAGCGCACGUAGGCGGCUUUGUAAGUUAGAGGUGAAAGCCUGGAGCUCAACUCCAGAACUGCCUUUAAGACUGCAUCGCUUGAUUCCAGGAGAGGUGAGUGGAAUUCCGAGUGUAGAGGUGGAAUUCGUAGAUAUUCGGAAGAACACCAGUGGCGAAGGCGGCUCACUGGACUGGUAUUGACGCUGAGGUGCGAAAGCGUGGGGAGCAAACAGGAUUAGAUACCCCGGUAGUCCCUGUCUCUUAUAC